GUCAACACCCCAUCACUAAAGUUUGAGCCUACUACUCCACUUUCACAAAAUAGGAAGCGUCCAUCUCCAUCUCCUGCAUCCUCGGCAAACUCUGUCAUCGGCAAGAACAGUAUCCCACUGCCUACAAUGGACCGCACACAAAACGACCUUGACAUGUGGAGUUAUGUGAACACGGAAAAAUUCAUUCACAUAAUGGUUGAGGUGGCUAGGAGGGAGGAAGCUACCAACUCAAAAAAGUCAUGAAAAUUUAAUGCUUACAAUGGCAUGAGAUAUUGAAGGAGCUAGGAGUGAGGACGGGGAGAAUAGGGUACACUAUUCCUAAGAUCUGAGAAAAGUUUACUCACAUUAAGAAAGAGUAUAAUGCCUUUAAGCAUAUGAAAGAUCAGACUGGGUUCGAUUGGGAUGAGGCAUCACAAACCGUCACAGCAACGGAUGACGUGUGGCAAACAUACCUCCAGGCAUAUCCAAAGGCUGCUAAAUUUCGUAACCAAGGCCUUGACCACUUCGAGGAAUUGGACGAGCUCCUUUCUAGCUCAUUGGCAAAUGGAGCAUUUGCACGUCCUAAUACACAACCGCCCCCCACACGUGAUGAAGAGAAGUUGUCAUGUACGGAAAAGGAAAGCCAAUAAAAAGGGAGGACAGCGUGGCCAUGGGUAAAAGAAAAUCGGAUGGUAGUGGCGGAAGCACCGCGAAGGUAACAAAGUUUGAAAAGCGAGAUGAAGUAUACGAAAAAUUUGCGUUCUCUCAGCAAAUGAAGGGAGAAUACUAUCAGUUGAAGGCCCAAAACCAAAGUGCCCAAAAUAAUAUGGAAAUGAAGGAAUGCCAUGCCUUCUUGAAAAGUGUAAAGCACAUUAUUGGUGAAGAUAAAUAUCUUGACGCUUACAGUCAUCUUGUUGACCAGCCACGGUGGCAAACAUCUUUUCUUGCCCUAGAUGCUGAUGAGAGGAUGGCGUGGGUCCAUCGUAA